AUCGUGCGUCUGCGCCCUGCGAAAGAAGGACCUGCUGGCGGAGCUCCGGCCGGGGUCUCCUGCCUCGCAGCUGGGCGAGGGGACUUGGAGGACAGGGUGAAGCUGCAGAAGACCUGGGGUGGGAUGGCUAGAGAGGACGCCAAGGACUGGGGAAGGGGAAGUUAGGAAUACCUUACAUCCAAUGCCCACCCGUGCUCCGCAGGGCAAGGGCAGCCGUCGCCUCGGCCGCGUGCACCCAGCUCAGGCUGUUCCCAGGGAUUUAGUCUGGGGGGACAACCCAUGGCGAGAUGUGGUGGCAUUUUACCUCAGAGUGGAGCUGAAGAUGGAUAAACAAGGUAUCUGAUGUAUCUGCCUGAGAAGGCAGAGCUGGAGAAAGGCGGAGCGAGGGAGCGCGUGAAAAGAAAGAGAUGCCGAAUGCCGGGUGAUUGUCUGCCGCUUGCUGUGCAUUCUCAUUCUAGGGAGGAUGGCAUAAUUUAUAACCCAGCACAUGGAUAGAGGAACUGUAAAUUGUAGUCUGGAUGUCCCCGGCGCUGUCGACGAAGGAACUGAUGGGCUAGGUGACUGUACCAGUGUCCCCAGAGAAAAUCGCAGCCUCGCAGCAUGGAUUUAAAUGCAUGUGCAUGCAUGUAGAGACAUGAAAAAAGGUUUCUGACCAUUUUACACAGGAAGUCUGUCACUUUGCUGGAUCGGGCUUGAUUGCAGCUUGUGUUUUCAGCUCCAGUUCAACACCCAUUUCCUGACUAGUGAGACAGCAUGGCCAAAGCAGCUGCAUGCAGAAUUUUCUUUUUACUGUGAAAGCAAGCCCCCUCUGUUUUAACUCCUUC
rnacentral:lncRNA from 1 species